rnacentral:rRNA from 1 species
GAACUGAAGAGUUUGAUCAUGGCUCAGAUUGAACGCUGGCGGCAGGCCUAACACAUGCAAGUCGAGCGGAUGAGGGGAGCUUGCUUCCUGAUUCAGCGGCGGACGGGUGAGUAAUGCCUAGGAAUCUGCCUGGUAGUGGGGGACAACGUCUCGAAAGGGACGCUAAUACCGCAUACGUCCUACGGGAGAAAGCAGGGGACCUUCGGGCCUUGCGCUAUCAGAUGAGCCUAGGUCGGAUUAGCUAGUUGGUGAGGUAAUGGCUCACCAAGGCUGCGAUCCGUAACUGGUCUGAGAGGAUGAUCAGUCACACUGGAACUGAGACACGGUCCAGACUCCUACGGGAGGCAGCAGUGGGGAAUAUUGGACAAUGGGCGAAAGCC